UGCGCAGUCAGCAAGAAAGCCUUUUGUUUACAUUCUCCAUUUCGUUGUUUUAUUCAUAAUACCUCGCUCUGCAGUUUUUAAGUUCCAGAUUUUUGUACGCUAUUCAAGCCUAUUAAGGCAAUUCAACAUUAAGAUUACAGGAUAUUAUUAUGUCUAAAGUUCAAGGUACGGUUAAGUGGUUUAACGAAGCUAAAGGUUUUGGUUUCAUCGAGCAAGAAAAUGGCCCAGAUUUAUUCGCUCACUUUAGCGCUAUCGCUAGCGAAGGUUUCAAAACUUUAGCUGAAGGCCAAAAAGUUGAAUUCACUAUCGGCGAAGGUCAAAAAGGCCCGAACGCUGAAAACAUCGUAGCACUUUAAUUUGCUAUGUAGUCAGUUCUAAUACUGAGCUGAACAAAUAUUAAAGAAUGGCGAACCUUAAUUGGUUCGCCAUUUUU
rnacentral:sRNA from 1 species